rnacentral:piRNA from 1 species
UAGGACCCCUGGGUGGUUGCGCAGAUC